AGCCCAUCAGCUAGCUUACCCCCUAAAAUUCAACAACCCCCUUUACAUAACCCCUAAAACCCUGGCACAAAAGACCAAACCAUUUUUCCCCCCAAGUAUGGGCGACAGAAAAGGAUACACCCAAAGCAAUAGAAGUAGUACCGCAAGGGAACGCUGAAAGAGAAAUGAAACAAAUCAGUAAAGCACAAAAAAGCAGAGCCUAACCCUCGUACCUUUUGCAUCAUGAUUUAGCAAGAAGCCGUCAAGCAAAAAGCAUUUUAGUUUGACACCCCGAAACCAAGUGAGCUACUCCAAGACAGCCUACAAGGGCGAACCCGUCUCUGUGGCAAAAGAGUGGGAAGAUCUUUGAGUAGAGGUGACAGACCUACCGAACUUGGUUAUAGCUGGUUACCCAAGAAUUGAAUAGGAGUUCAGCCUUUUGCCCUCUUUCCUCAUAACCGAGCACAUUUUUAAGUACCCAAGAGGACAAAAGAGUUAGUCAAAGGGGGUACAGCCCCUUUGAAAAAGACACAACUUUACCAGAAGGGUUAAGAUCAUAUCAUCAACAAGGGAACGUGUUUUAGUUGGCCUAAAAGCAGCCACCCACACAGAAAGCGUUAAAGCUCAUACACCUCCCCUCCCCUAUUAUCCGGACCACAACAUCUUACCCCCCUAUAUAUACUGGGUCUUUCCAUACCCUUAUGGAAGAGAUUAUGCUAAUAUGAGUAAUAAGAGAGCUAGCCUCUCUCCUAGCACAAGUGUACAUCGGAACGAACUAACACCGAGAAUUAACGGCCCCAACAAAAGAGGGCACUGAAAUAUAACGGCCAAACCACAAGAAAAUCAUCCACACCCCCAACCGUUAACCUCACACCAGAGUGCCUACAAGGAAAGACUAAAAGAAAAAGAAGGAACUCGGCA
rnacentral:rRNA from 1 species